GAUUAGAUACCCUAGUAUAGAAAGUUAAAGCAAAUUAGUAUAAGUGAAAUUUAAAGAUGUUGGCGGUUAAUUUUUUUUAGAGGAGCUUGUUAAUCAAAUAGAAUUUACUCUUUAUAUUUUAUUGGUACAUGACUUAUUCAUCUCCGUUAUUAGACAAGUUAAAAUAAAUAUUUUUAGUAUAUCAGGUCAAGAUGUAGUAUUUAUUAAAGGAUAUUAGCUACAUUUAUGAUAAUAAAUGGAGAUUAUUUGGGAAGUUUAAAGUUGAAAUUGAAUUUAAUUGUAAUAUUAACUAGAAAGUUAUUGUGAAUUGGAAUUAUUAAUGUACAGAUUGCCCGUCACUUCUAUUGUAAGUAGAAUAAGUCGUAACAAAGUA
rnacentral:rRNA from 1 species